rnacentral:rRNA from 1 species
AACGAACGCUGGCGGCAUGCCUAACACAUGCAAGUCGAACGAGACCUUCGGGUCUAGUGGCGCACGGGUGCGUAACGCGUGGGAACCGGCCCUUAGGUUCGGAAUAACUCCCCGAAAGGGGUGCUAAUACCGGAUAAUGUCUUCGGACCAAAGAUUUAUCGCCUUUGGAGGUGCCCGCGUUGGAUUAGCUAGUUGUUAGGGUAAAAGCCUACCAAGGCGACGAUCCAUAGCUGGUCUGAGAGGAUGAUCAGCCACACUGGGACUGAGACACGGCCCAGACUCCUACGGGAGGCAGCAGUGGGGAAUAUUGGACAAUGGGCGAAAGCCUGAUCCAGCAAUGCCGCGUGAGUGAUGAAGGCCUUAGGGUUGUAAAGCUCUUUUACCCGGGAUGAUAAUGACAGUACCGGGAGAAUAAGCUCCGGCUAACUCCGUG